GACGAACGCUGGCGGCGUGCUUAACACAUGCAAGUCGAACGGUGAAGGGGUCUGCUUUUGUGGGCCCUGGAUGAGUGGCGAACGGGUGAGUAACACGUGAGUAACCUGCCCCCUUCUUCUGGAUAACCGCAUGAAAGUGUGUCUAAUACGGGAUAUUCUGGGUCUGUCGCAUGAUGGGUCUGGGAAAGAUUGCGCCUUUGGGUGUUUUUGGUGGGGGAUGGGCUCGCGGCCUAUCAGCUUGUUGGUGGGGUGAUGGCCUACCAAGGCGGUGACGGGUAGCCGGCCUGAGAGGGUGGACGGUCACACUGGGACUGAGACACGGCCCAGACUCCUACGGGAGGCAGCAGUGGGGAAUAUUGCACAAUGGGCGCAAGCCUGAUGCAGCGACGCCGCGUGAGGGAUGGAGGCCUUCGGGUUGUAAACCUCUUUCGCCAGUGAAGCAGGCCUGCUACUUGUGGGUGGGUUGACGGUAGCUGGAUAAGAAGCGCCGGCUAACUACGUG
rnacentral:rRNA from 1 species